GGGCAGAUGGUGAAAUUGGUAGACACGCUAGCCUUAGGAGCUAGUGCCGCAAGGCAUGAGAGUUCGAGUCUCUCUCUGCCCACAA
rnacentral:tRNA from 1 species